AUUGAACGCUGGCGGCAGGCUUAACACAUGCAAGUCGAGCGGAGUGAUGGUGCUUGCACUAUCACUUAGCGGCGGACGGGUGAGUAAUGCUUAGGAAUCUGCCUAUUAGUGGGGGACAACAUCUCGAAAGGGAUGCUAAUACCGCAUACGUCCUACGGGAGAAAGCAGGGGAUCACUUGUGACCUUGCGCUAAUAGAUGAGCCUAAGUCGGAUUAGCUAGUUGGUGGGGUAAAGGCCUACCAAGGCGACGAUCUGUAGCGGGUCUGAGAGGAUGAUACGCCACACUGGGACUGGAGCACGGCCCAGCCUCCUACGGGAGGCAGCAGUGGGGAAUAUUGGACAAUGGGGGGAACCCUGAUCCAGCCAUGCCGCGUGUGUGAAGAAGGCCUUAUGGUUGUAAAGCACUUUAAGCGAGGAGGAGGCUCUUUUGGUUAAUACCCAAGAUGAGUGGACGUUACUCGCAGAAUAAGCACCGGCUAACUCUGUGCCAGCAGCCGCCGUAA
rnacentral:rRNA from 1 species